rnacentral:rRNA from 1 species
AGUGAACGCUGGCGGUAGGCCUAACACAUGCAAGUCGAACGGCAGCACAGUAAGAGCUUGCUCUUACGGGUGGCGAGUGGCGGACGGGUGAGGAAUACAUCGGAAUCUACUUUUUCGUGGGGGAUAACGUAGGGAAACUUACGCUAAUACCGCAUACGACCUACGGGUGAAAGCAGGGGAUCUUCGGACCUUGCGCGAUUGAAUGAGCCGAUGUCGGAUUAGCUAGUUGGCGGGGUAAAGGCCCACCAAGGCGACGAUCCGUAGCUGGUCUGAGAGGAUGAUCAGCCACACUGGAACUGAGACACGGUCCAGACUCCUACGGGAGGCGGCAGUGGGGAAUAUUGGACAAUGGGCGCAAGCCUGAUCCAGCCAUAUCGCGUGGGUGAAGAAGGCCUUCGGGUUGUAAAGCCCUUUUGUUGGGAAAGAAAAGCAGCAGGUUAAUACCCCGCUGUUCUGACGGUACCCAAAGAAUAAGCACCGGCUAACUUCGUG